CUUAGAGAGCACGGAAACAGGAGAGGCUGUUCACAAACAAGGCGCCUCCUCAGAAAUAUCUUGGUACUGGAGUCCAACGUUGAAGGAAACCAGCUUGUGUAUUUCUGAAUGAGCCCCAGCUCUGGAGCUAAACAUGAGCCUAGAUAAUCUGUGUUCAACUGUGUGUGGAAACCUGAUAGCUGUCAUAACACAAUAAACUCUUACCUUUCCAUUUUA